rnacentral:rRNA from 1 species
CCUACGGGAGGCAGCAGGGGGGAAUAUUGGGCAAUGGACGCAAGACUGACCCAGCAACGCCGCGUGAAGGAAGAAGGCUUUCGGGUUGUAAACUUCUGUUCUCAGGGACGAAGAAAGUGACGGUACCUCAGGAAUAAGCCACGGCUAACUACGUGCCAGCAGCCGCGGUAAUACGUAGGUGGCAAGCGUUAUCCGGAUUUACUGGGUGUAAAGGGCGUGUAGGCGGGACUGCAAGUCAGAGGUGAAAACCAUGGGCUCAACCUCUGGCCUGCAUUUGAAACUGUAGUUCUUGAGUACUGGAGAGGCAGGUGGAAUUCCUAGUGUAGCGGUGAAAUGCGUAGAUAUUAGGAGGAACACCAGUGGCGAAGGCGGUCUGCUGGACAGCAACUGACGUUGAGGCGCGAAAGCGUGGGGAGCAAACAGGAUUAGAUACCCGGGUAGUC